AGGCCCGUAACUCAGUGGACAGAGUGGCUGGGUUCGGCCCGGAACGUCUUCCCGUGGUUCGAAUCCCCGCGGGCUCG
rnacentral:tRNA from 1 species